UACGGGGUGCAGCAGGCGCGAAAACUUUACAAUGCGGGAAACCGUGAUAAGGGGACACCGAGUGCUAGCAUCAUAUGCUGGCUGUCCAGGUGUGUAAAAUACAUCCGUUAGCAAGGGCCGGGCAAGACCGGUGCCAGCCGCCGCGGUAACACCGGCGGCCCGAGUGGUGAUCGUGAUUAUUGGGUCUAAAGGGUCCGUAGCCGGUUUGGUCAGUCCUCCGGGAAAUCUGAUAGCUCAACUAUUAGGCUUUCGGGGGAUACUGCCAGACUUGGAACCGGGAGAGGUGAGAGGUACUUCAGGGGUAGGGGUGAAAUCUUGUAAUCCUUGAAGGACCACCAGUGGCGAAGGCGUCUCACCAGAACGGACCUGACGGCAAGGGACGAAAGCUAGGGGCACGAACCGGAUUAGAUACCCGGGUAGUCCUAGCCGUAAACGAUACUCGCUAGGUGUCGGCCACGGUGCGACCGUUGUCGGUGCCGUAGGGAAGCCGUGAAGCGAGCCACCUGGGAAGUACGGCCGCAAGGCUGAAACUUAAAGGAAUUGGCGGGGGAGCACCACAACGGGUGGAGCUUGCGGUUUAAUUGGAUUCAACGCCGGAAAUCUUA
rnacentral:rRNA from 1 species